rnacentral:rRNA from 1 species
AUUGAACGCUGGCGGUAGGCCUAACACAUGCAAGUCGAGCGAGCGGCGGACGGGUGAGUAAUGUAUGGGGACUGCCCGAUAGAGGGGGAUAACUACUGGAAACGGUGGCUAAUACCGCAUACUAUCGGAUAACCCAUAUGGGAUUAGCUCGUGGGUGGGGUAAAGGCUCACCUAGGCGACUAUCGCUAGCUGGUCUGAGAGGGUGAUCAGCCACACUGGGAAUGAGACACGGCCCAGACUCCGACGGAGGCAGCAGUGGGGAAUAUUGCACAAUGGGCGCAAGCCUGAUGCAGCCAUGCCGCGUGUAUGAAGAAGGCCUUAGGGUUGUAGAGUAAUUUCAGCGGGGAGGCGUUACCCGCAGAGGAAGCACCGGCUAACUCCGUGCCAGCCGCCACGGUAAUAC